rnacentral:misc_RNA from 1 species
AGCGCGCCCCGGCCUGAGUGGAGCUCUUUUUCUUUUUUACUAAAAAGAAAAAAGCGGGAACGGAGGACGGAUAAAGGC